GCGGUGGAGCAUUGUGGUUUUAAUUUCGAAGAUACGCGAAGAACCUUUACCUGGCCUUGACAUUGAUAGAUCUGGUAGAGAUACUGGAGUGCUAGCUUGCUAGAACUUGAAAACAGGUGCUGCACGGCUGUCGUCAGCUCGUGUCGUGAGAUGUUGGGUUAAGUCCCGCAACGAGCGCAACCUCGUCGUUAGUUGCUAACAGUUAGGCUGAGAACUCUAACGAGACUGCCUUCGUAAGGAGGAGGAAGGUGAGGACGACGUCAAGUCAUCAUGGCCCUUACGGCCAGGGCUACACACGUGCUACAAUGGGGUGUACAGAAAGCUGCAAUAUCGCGAGAUGGAGCAAAUCUCAAAAACACCUCCCAGUUCGGAUUGUUCUCUGCAACUCGAGAACAUGAAGUUGGAAUCGCUAGUAAUCGUAGAUCAGCAUUGCUACGGUGAAUACGUUCCCGGGUCUU
rnacentral:rRNA from 1 species